rnacentral:rRNA from 1 species
AGUGAACGCUGGCGGUAGGCCUAACGCAUGCAAGUCGAACGGCAGCACAGAGGAGCUUGCUCCUUGGGUGGCGAGUGGCGGACGGGUGAGGAAUACAUCGGAAUCUACUCUGUCGUGGGGGAUAACGUAGGGAAACUUACGCUAAUACCGCAUACGACCUACGGGUGAAAGCAGGGGAUCUUCGGACCUUGCGCGAUUGAAUGAGCCGAUGUCGGAUUAGCUAGUUGGCGGGGUAAAGGCCCACCAAGGCGACGAUCCGUAGCUGGUCUGAGAGGAUGAUCAGCCGCACUGGAACUGAGACACGGUCCAGACUCCUACGGGAGGCAGCAGUGGGGAAUAUUGGACAAUGGGCGCAAGCCUGAUCCAGCCAUACCGCGUGGGUGAAGAAGGCCUUCGGGUUGUAAAGCCCUUUUGUUGGGAAAGAAAUCCAACUGGUUAAUACCCGGUUGGGAUGACGGUACCCAAAGAAUAAGCACCGGCUAACUUCGUGCCAGCAGCCGCGGUAAUACGAAGGGUGCAAGCGUUACUCGGAAUUACUGGGCGUAAAGCGUGCGUAGGUGGUUAUUUAAGUCCGUUGUGAAAGCCCUGGGCUCAACCUGGGAACUGCAGUGGAUACUGGAUGACUAGAAUGUGGUAGAGGGUAGCGGAAUUCCUGGUGUAGCAGUGAAAUGCGUAGAGAUCAGGAGGACAUCCAUGGCGAAGGCAGCUACCUGGACCA